GGCUGGCCCCGAGGCGGUGGCAUGUCGGCGGAGCGCGUAUGGAGACUAUACCUUCUGUAAAGCUUUGUGGAAGAUAGAGGUGUGUGCUGCAAUGGUUACAUAAAUACCUCAGAGGACUGGAACAAGUUGUCGAGAAUCUGUGUUUGUUUUUAAUGCUGCUGUCAAGAACAAUCUAAGGCAAGUAAACAACAUGAGUUUUAUCCUGAAACUUCACAGACAUUUUCAAAGGACAGUUAUUUUGCUGGCCACUUUUUGUAUGGUGAGCAUAGUUAUUUCUGCAUAUUACUUGUAUAAUGGCUACAAACAGGAAAAUGAACUUCCUGAAAUCUCUUCAGAAGUGGAAUGUGGUGAUCCUCAACUGUUGCCAUACAAGCUGAUGGAGAUGAAGACUAUGAAGUCCAUUGACCCCCUGAGGACAGACCUUGUAGUGCUAGUGUUUGUGGAAAGUCAGUAUUCAGCACUAGGCCAAGAUAUAAUAACCAUUUUAGAAUCUAGCAGAUUUCAGUUUCACAUUGAGAUUGCACCUGGGAAAGGUGACCUCCCAGUGCUUAUAGACAAAAAUAAAGGCAAAUACGCUCUCAUAGUAUAUGAAAAUAUUCUAAAGUAUGUGAACAUGGACUCCUGGAACAGAGGCCUUCUAGAUAAGUACUGUAUAGAGUAUGGUGUAGGUGUUAUUGGAUUUCACAAAGGUAAUGAGAACAGCUUGCAGAGCUCUCAGUUGAAGGGCUUUCCUUUCCAUGUCCACAGCAAUCUGGGUAUAAAGGACUGUUGCAUUAACCCUCAUUCCCCACUGCUUCAUGUGACUAAAUCUUCUAAGCUCGAGAAAGGUUCCUUGCUUGGAAAUGACUGGGCAGUUUUCCAUAUUAAUCAUACGACUUAUCAACCAGUGAUAUUUGCUAAAGUAAAGACAGCAGAAAACCUUUCACCACCUGCUGCUAUAAGUGCUCUCUAUGCCACGGUAAUUCAUGACCUGGGGCUCCACGAUGGGAUUCAGCGAGUCCUUUUCGGCAAUAACUUGAAUUUUUGGCUGCACAGGCUGAUUUUCAUAGAUGCUGUCUCUUUCCUGUCUGGCAAGAGGCUCAGACUGUCCUUGGAUAGGUAUGUUCUGGUUGACAUCGAUGACAUCUUUGUUGGGAAGGACGGAACAAGAAUGAACACCAAUGAUGUACAGGCCCUGCUUGACACUCAGAAUCUUUUGAGAGCUCAGAUUACAAAUUUUACUUUCAACCUGGGAUUUUCAGGGAAAUUUUAUCACACAGGGACUGAGGAGGAAGAUGAAGGUGAUGACCUGCUGUUGAGAUCUGCGGAUGAGUUUUGGUGGUUUCCCCAUAUGUGGAGUCACAUGCAGCCUCACCUCUUCUACAAUGAGUCAUCACUGGUGGAGCAGAUGAUCCUCAACAAAAAAUUUGCCUUAGAACAUGGUAUUCCAACUGAUUUGGGCUAUGCAGUGGCUCCACACCAUUCUGGAGUCUACCCAGUACAUGUUCAACUCUAUGAUGCCUGGAAAAAGGUCUGGAAUAUCAGAGUUACCAGCACAGAAGAAUACCCACACCUGAAGCCUGCACGGUAUAGGCGAGGCUUCAUCCACAAAAAUAUCAUGGUCCUUCCUAGGCAAACCUGUGGCUUAUUCACCCACACAAUUUUCUAUAAAGAGUAUCCUGGAGGCCCAAAGGAACUAGACAAAAGUAUUCAAGGAGGAGAGUUGUUCUUCACAGUGGUUCUCAAUCCAAUCAGCAUCUUCAUGACACAUUUGUCCAAUUACGGAAACGACCGCCUGGGAUUAUACACCUUUGUGAACCUGGCCAAUUUUGUUCAUACCUGGACAAACCUGAAACUGCAAACUCUUCCUCCGGUUCAGCUGGCUCACAAGUAUUUUGAACUAUUCCCUGAGCAGAAGGACCCUCUCUGGCAGAAUCCCUGUGAUGACAAACGGCACAAAGAUAUCUGGUCGAAAGAAAAAACCUGUGAUCGAUUACCAAAAUUCUUGGUUGUAGGACCCCAGAAAACUGGUACCACAGCCUUGUAUUUGUUCCUGAUCAUGCAUCCUUCCAUCAUUAGUAACUCCCCCAGCCCAAAUACCUUUGAGGAGGUACAGUUCUUUAAUAGAAAUAACUACCACAGGGGGAUUGAUUGGUACAUGGAUUUCUUCCCCACUCCUUCUAAUGUCACCACUGACUUCCUCUUUGAAAAAAGUGCCAACUAUUUCCAUUCUGAGGAAGCUCCUAAACGAGCUGCUUCCCUGAUCCCCAAGGCCAAGAUCAUCACCAUCCUCAUUGACCCAUCCGAUCGGGCAUAUUCCUGGUAUCAGCAUCAGCGAUCACAUGAAGAUCCUGCAGCUCUAAAAUUCAGCUUCUAUCAAGUGAUCACAGCUGGACCUCGAGCACCAUCUGAGCUUAAAGCUCUACAAAAGAGAUGCCUAUCACCAGGAUUGUAUGCUACACAUAUUGAAAGAUGGCUAACUUACUUCCCACCUUAUCAGUUGCUAAUUAUUGAUGGACAGCAGCUGCGAACUGACCCAUCUACUGUAAUGGAUGAAGUACAGAAGUUUCUGGGAGUCUCUCCUCAUUAUAAUUACUCUGAAGCCCUAAUGUUCGAUUCACAUAAAGGUUUCUGGUGUCAGCUCCUGGAAGAAGGAAAAACAAAGUGUCUUGGAAAGAGCAAAGGUAGAAAAUACCCUCCUAUGGAUUCUGAGUGCAGGGCUUUUCUGUCAAGCUACUACAGAGAUCACAAUGUGGAACUGUCAAAACUCCUACACAAAUUGGGACAACCCCUGCCAUCAUGGCUGAGACAGGAGCUACAGAAAGUAAGAUAGCAUUGAAACACAGCUUUUUGAAAUCUUUCUUCCAUACUUCAGUCAUCGUAUCUGAAGUCUCCAGGAGCUACUAGAAGGUCUUGUAAAAUAUACUUCUUCAAAAAAGAGUAAAAGAUAGAAAUUAUUUCCAUGUGCUGGCAUGUGGAUUGUGAAAAUACAUGUGUUUCUUUAGAGCUCCGGUGGGCCAGAUCUUUCUCACAAACAUUUCUGGGCCUGUGGACCUGUGGACCCCUGUGCACAUAUGUAGAAGUUAUUUGCAACUGGUAUAAGUUUGAGAUACGUGACCUGUCCAAUUUCAUGGUAAAUACAUACAUAUACAGACACACAUUUUAUAUAUCAGUUUAAAAGUAUUGUGUCUCGUGUAGGUUUUAUAGCCCAUUGUUAGACCACUGACAGUUUUUCUUACUAUUUGAUUCUUGUCUUGCACAAACUAAGAAAACUUAAUGUAGCACAAAAAAUGCCAAGUGUACUUCAGGGUUAGAAGUACAGUUAUUAUAUGUGAUUUAGCUGUGCACAGCAGCAAAAUACACAGAGCAAAAUAUGGAAGCCACAGGCAAAUGCAAUGUAGAAACAUCCCCCACUCCCACACCCCCAACCCCCAAGAAAACAUUACCUAUGAUUAUAGCCUGUAACAAACAACAUACCCUUACAAUAUGGUAAGGGCCUUUGACCACAAUUACUAUGUAUGAUUUUGGACUGACUGAAAUGGCAAAAUACAGAAUAUUGUCAUUAUCUGAGCAGAAAUUGAAUUGGACAUGUGAAGUACAAAAGCUGCAGUAUAAUUCUUAUGAGCAGUAUUAUACUUACACAAUUGUGAACGAAACUGAAGCAGUGCAAUGAACAGGCUUUUACUCCUGGCUUCCACAACCAGCCAGACACUGCCCUCUGGGCUUACUUUGGUGUGAAUCAGGAGCAACUCUGCUGAAAUUAAUGAAAAACUCAUAAAAAGCAGAAACACAUCCAUACUUAGAUUGUCUUAAUUUGCACUGCUAUUUUUUCCUUAAUUUAUUUGCCUUCAGUCUCUAUGGUUUGUACAUUCUAAGAUCCCUCAACCUAAUCAAAAUCAUAGCACCUUUCAGUAACCUUCAGUUUAUGUCAGCUGCAAAAAUCUGUCACAUUUCCAGAUGAAAAUACUGGUUCCGGUUCCAGAUGUUUUCAACAUGUGUUGUAUUAAACAUUAGGAAUAAUCUGUAGGGGAAAAAAAACACAGUAUGUAGUCAUGGUAGAAAAUUACACUGUAAUCAUGGGAGACACAAAUAUCCAGCCUUAUGUUUAUGUGAUACAUUUCAAUGAUACAUCUCAUAGUGUAUCAGUUGAGAUGUGAGAUAAAGUCUAAUUAAUAGUAAGAAAAAAUUGGGAAAGAGGAUGAAAGAAAACUUCAGCUGAGGACAGCCUUGCUGCUUCUCCACUAAAUUUUGACUCUGUUUCUUAGAGGCAUGAAGAGGUAGUGAAAAUGAAACAGAACUGCAGUACUAAAUGCAAUGCUUUUUACAGUAGCUCUAUAACAUUAUGAUUUGGUUUAGGGUGAAUAGUUAAAAAUACACAUCAAAUGAUGGGAAAACUUCAUGUGUCUCAGUGCUGCUUUCCAACAUUUAUGUAAUCAUAUAAUUUAACUUUCAAGGUAAUAGAACGGAAACCAGUCUGUUAUUCCCUAAACAGUAAAGAGAUGUUGAGAUCCUUACUGUACCUCUAACUGGUAAUCUUUAUUAUUUAUUGAUUUUGUUUAUGUAAUAUGUGGUUUUGAUAGGUCAGUAAAGAAAAAAGUCUAGACAAAUUUGUUGUAUUUAACAAUAUUCUUUACACAACAAAUUUUUGCUAAGGGAAAAUGCAUGAGUAAUGAUGAGGACCUUCUAGAGUAAACAUUUUUAAGAUUAACAUAUUUAUUAUUUAUUAGGGUAAGAGCUUUUAUUUCAUUUUAAAUAGUUACUGUCAUAUGGAUUUGUCCCAGAGGCUGACUUGUUGUGAAGUACUUCUUAUUUGAUAAAAAAAACACUCUGGAUUCUGAAGAUCUGUAAAAGCAAGUACUCUGCCUGCUAUGGACAGCUCAUGCCUCCUGCAAGCUUCUAUAUGGAUUUGCUACAAUGAAAUUGAAUAACUGGAGAAAAUACCUGGGGUUUUCAUCCUGUAGACUUUAAAAAACACUACUUUUAAUGUGCAGUCAACUUGGUGAAGAAUGAAGAGUCUGAGGAAAGCAUGCAGACAACAGCUACAUGUGUUAUUGCCCAAAUCGUAGGAUGCACAUGAAUACAGCUGAGUAAGCAAGUCAUACAACAUGAAUUACCUGCCAAAGUAUAACUAAUUCUAUUCACAGCUUACUUACAAUAGGUGUUUGAUUUCCAGAAAUAGACUAUCAAUAUUAACGCUCUUAAAAAAAAAAACUGAUUCAUUACAAUGAAUUAAUAUUUGCUAGUCAAAGUCAAAUAUGUUGUACUGUGUGGUUGAUAAAACAGCCAUGGUUUCUGCUGUCCUGGUAGAUAACUGCACAAUUGCUUGAUUAUGUGAGCUUCAGCUUCAUUUUCAUAAAUAUGAUUCUGAAAUUUGCUUUCUGCAGAAUCUGUGCCAUUAAAAGUUAAUGUGUGACUAUGAACAGAAAGUGACCAUUACAGGAGGUGUAAAAGGGCCUGAUAUGAAAUAACUGAAUUAUUUAAGCAAACAUUGCUGAAAAUGCUGUUGAUAUUUUCCCAGUUCUACUCCUGCAGAUUUAGUCGCAAUGUUUUGCAGACUUACUUGUACAGAAUAUCCUUUUUCAUUGCUUAAAAAUAUGAAACUUCCUCAGGAAGAAAUUAAGUAGGUAUUUCAGUGUUAUAGAGGUAAUACUCUUGUCAUUCACAUUGAAUGAAAAUUGCUGGAAACAUUUUUCUCAAAGUUUUUUUUUAAUAAAAAUAGCUAUUAUUCUGAUAGUGGCAUGGUAUCUGAAGUGCGACAAUAAACUCUGAUAAGAAAAUGUA